rnacentral:rRNA from 1 species
AACCCUGGUGGCGAGUGGCGAACGGGUGAGUAAUAUAUCGGAACGUGCCCUAGAGUGGGGGAUAACGUAGCGAAAGUUACGCUAAUACCGCAUACGUCUGUAAAGGGAAAGCGGGGGACUCGUAGGAACCUCGCGCUAUUGGAUGAGCCAAAGUCGGAUUAGCUAGUUGGUGGGGUAAUGGCCUACCAAGGCGACAAUCCGUAGCUGGUCUGAGAGGACGACCAGCCACACCGGAACUGAGACACGGUCCGGACUCCUACGGGAGGCAGCAGUGGGGAAUAUUGGACAAUGGGGGAAACCCUGAUCCAGCGACGCCGCGUGUGUGAAGAAGGCCUGCGGGUUGUAAAGCACUUUUAGUGGGGACAAAAAGCUACGGAUUAAUACUCUGUGGUCUUGAUUUAACCCAAAGAAAAAGCACCGGCUAACUCUGUGCCAGCAGCCGCGGUAAUACAGAGGGUGCGAGCGUUAAUCGGAAUUACUGGGGCGUAAAGCGCGCGUAGACGGUUUUGUAAGUCAGAUGUGAAAUCCCUGGGCUCAACCUGGGAACUGCAUUUGAUACUGCAUGGCUAGAGUAUCGAAGAGGGAAGUGGAAUUUCCGGUAUAGCGGUGAAAUGCGUAGAUAUCGGAAGGAACACCAGUGGCGAAAGCGACUUCCUGGUCGAAUACUGACGUUCAUGUGCGAAAGCGUGGGGAGCAAACAGGAUUAGAUACCCUGGUAGUCCACGCCAUAAACGAUGACAACUAGAUGUUGGNAGGGUCUGCCUCUCGGUGUCGCAGCUAACGCGUUAAGUUGUCCGCCUGGGGAGUACGGCCGCAAGGUUG